rnacentral:SRP_RNA from 2 species
GGAGGUUGGCGACGGACGGGUUCCUCGCCAAUCCGGUCAGGUCCGGAAGGAAGCAGCCGUAACGAGAUCGGCUCGGGUUGUUCGUCCAGCCUCCCAC